rnacentral:rRNA from 1 species
CUACGGAGGCUCCGAGCGUUAAUCGGAAUUACUGGGCGUAAAGCGCGCGUAGGCGGAUAUUUAAGUCAGAUGUGAAAUCCCUGGGCUCAACCUAGGAACUGCAUUUGAAGCUGGAUAUCUAGAGUAUGGUAGAGGUGAGUGGAAUUUCAGGUGUAGCGGUGAAAUGCGUAGAGAUCUGAAGGAACAUCAGUGGCGAAGGCGACUCACUGGGCCAUUACUGACGCUGAGGUGCGAAAGCGUGGGUAGCAAACAGGAUUAGAUACCCUAGUAGUCC